rnacentral:sRNA from 1 species
AACUCGCUUGGGUCCCCUUCCGCACUGUGGAAGCUUUGUUCUUUUGCUCUUUGUAAUAAAUCUUGCUGCUGCUCACUCUUUGGGUCCACACUGCCUUUAUGAGCUGUAACACUCACCGUGAAGGUCUGCAGCUUCACUCUUGAAGCCAGCGAGACCAUGAACCCACUGGGAGGAAUGAACAACUCCAGAUGCACCACCUUAAGAACUGUAACACUCACCGUGAAGGUCUGCAGCUUCACUCCUGAGCCUGCGAGACCACGAAGCCACCAGAAGGCCGAACACAUCCGAACAUCAGAAGGAACAAACUCCGUACAUGCCGCCUUUAAGAACUGUAACACUCACCACGAGAGUCCAUGGCUUCAUUCUUGAAGUCAGUGAGACCAAGAACCCACCAAUUCCAGACACAUUUUGGCGACCACGAAGGGACUAUCACCUAUUGCCAAGUGGUGCAACUAUUGCCGAGCAGUGAGACCAUUGCCUGUCACUGAGCGGCGAGACAAUUGCUUAUCACCAAGCAACCAUGUGACAUUUGGUGCUGUAACUCAGAUCGGUGAACCUCCCUUGGGAGAUCAAUCCCCUGUCCUCCUGCUCUUUGAUCCAUGAGAAAGAUCCACCUAUGACCUCUGGUCCUCAGACCAACCAGCCCAAGGAACAUCUCACCAAUUUUAAAUUGGAGACAGAGGAAACGUGUUUUAUCUGUGAACCCAAAACUCCAGCACCAGUCAUGGACUCGGGAAGACAGUCUUCCCUUGAUGUUUAAUCACUGCAGGGACGCCUGCCUGAUUAUUCACCCAUGUUUCAGAGGUGUCUGAUCACUGCGGGGACGCCUGCCUGGAUCCUUCACCUUAGUGGGUCUCACUCUCUCACCCUGGCUGGAGUGGAGUGGCAUGACCACGGUUCACUGCAGGUUUGAACUCCCAGGUUCAAGCAAUCCUCCCACCUCAGCCUCCCACAUAGCUGAGACCACAGGAAUAAUUGAAAAUGGAAAUUACCUUCUCUACUCAUAGUUUGUUCUGAGUAAUGAAUACCCUAUUACUAUGAUACUAGUAUCUUCCUUAAUUAUCCUACUCAUUGUCUCAACAUUCUGACAGUUGGAUUGAGCAUAUUCAAAUUUUGAAAAUUAUUGUAGAAAUGUUUUUACCUCAUAUGAACCACCUGACGUUGGAACAGACUUUCUUUUCACAAGUGUUACCAAAGACUGUGAAAUUAUUUGAUGACAUGAUGUAUGAAUUAACCAGUCAAGCCAGAGGACUGUCAAGCCAAAAUUUGGAAAUCCAGACCACUCUAAGGAAUAUUUUACAAACGAUGGUGCAGCUCUUAGGAGCUCUUACAGGAUGUGUUCAGCAUGUCUGUGCCACACAGGAAUCCAUCAUUUUGGAAAAUAUUCAGAGUCUCCCCUCCUCAGUCCUUCAUAUAAUUAAAAGCACAUUUGUGCAUUGUAAGUUUCAGACCUUCUCCAGGCUCUUUUCAAGGAGGCCUAUUCUCUCCAAAAGCAGUUAAUGGAACUGCUGGACAUGGUUUGCAUGGACCCUUUAGUAGAUGAAAAUGAUGAUAUCUUGAAUAUGGUAAUAGUUAUUCAUUCUUUAUUGGAUAUCUGCUCUGUUAUUUCCAGUAUGGACCAUGCAUUUCAUGCCAAUACUUGGAAGUUUAUAAUUAAGCAGAGCCUUAAGCACCAGUCCAUAAUAAAAAGCCAGUUGAAACACAAAGAUAUAAUUACUAGCUUGUGUGAAGACAUUCUUUUCUCCUUCCAUUCUUGUUUACAGUUAGCUGAGCAGAUGACACAGUCAGAUGCACAGGGUAAUGCUGACUACAGAUUAUUUCAGAAAACACUCAAAUUGUGUCGUUUUUUUGCCAACUCCCUUUUGCACUACGCUAAGGAAUUUCUUCCUUUCCUCUCUGAUUCUUGCUGUACUUUGCACCAACUGUAUCUUCAGAUACACAGCAAGUUUCCUCCAAGCCUUUAUGCUACCAGGAUUUCUAAAGCACACCAAGAGGAAAUAGCAGGUGCUUUCCUAGUGACACUGGAUCCACUUAUCAGUCAGCUGCUCACAUUUCAGCCUUUCAUCCAGGUGGUUUUGGACAGUGAAUUAGACCUGCCAUGUGAACUACAGUUUCCACAAUGUCUUCUUCUGGUUGUUGUCAUGGAUAAGCUGCCAUCUCAGCCUAAGGAAGUGCAAACCCUGUGGUGCACAGACAGCCAGGUCUCAGAAACUACAACCAGGAUAUCUCUACUCAAAGCCAUUUUCUACAGUUUUGAGCAGUGUUCUGGUGAACUCUCUCUACCUGUUCAUUUACAGGGAUUAAAGAGUAAGGGGAAAGCUGAGGUGGCUGUCACCUUGUAUCAGCAUGUUUGUGUUCAUCUCUGUACAUUUAUUACUUCCUUUCAUCCCUCACUGUUUGCUGAACUGGAUGCUGCUCUGCUGAAUGCUGUACUUAGUGCUAAUAUGAUCACCUCUUUGUUAGCUAUGGAUGCGUGGUGCUUCCUUGCUCGAUAUGGGACUGCUGAACUCUGUGCACACCAUGUCAACAUAGUGGCUCAUCUGAUAAAGUCAUGCCCUGGAGAAUGUUAUCAACUCAUCAACCUAUCAAUACUGUUGAAGCGUCUCUUUUUCUUCAUGGCACCACCCCAUCAGCUGGAGUUUAUCCAGAAAUUUUCCCCAAAAGAAGCAGAAAAUCUGCCUCUGUGGCAGCAUAUUUCCUUCCAGGCGUUACCUGCUGAGCUUAGGGAACAAACUGUCCAUGAGGUCACCACAGUAGGCACUGCAGAAUGCAGGAAAUGGCUGAGCAGCAGUCGUACUUUGGGAGAACUAGAAUCUCUGAACACAGUACUGUCUGCUUUGCUUGCAAUAUGUAAUUCUGCUGGUGAAGCUUUGGAUACAGGAAAACAAACUGCAAUUAUGGAAGUUGUGAGUCAGCUUUGGGCUUUUUUAAACAUUAAACAGGUAGCAGAUCAACCUUAUGUUCAACAGACAUUCAGCCUUUUACUUCCACUGUUGGGAUUUUUCAUUCAAACUCUAGAUCCUAAACUGAUACUUCAGGUAGUAACUUUGCAGACCUCACUACUUAAAUUAGAGCCUCCUGACUAUGUCCGUUUGGCAAUGUUGGAUUUUGUAUCUUCUUUAGGAAAACUUUUUAUACCUGAAGCUAUCCAGGACAGAAUUCUGCCCAACCUGUCCUGUAUUUUUGCCUUACUGCUAGCUGACAGGAGUUGGCUGCUAGAACAACAUACCUUGGAGGCGUUUACUCAGUUUGCUGAGGGAACAAAUCAUGAAGAGAUAGUUCCACAGUGUCUCCGUUCUGAAGAAACUAAGAACAAAGUUUGCUCAGCACAGUGCUGACAGACUUUUACUAAGCAAUUGAGGUCACAGAAGUAAAACACUUGGGGCCAGGCGCGGUGGCUCAUGCCUGUAAUCCCAGCACUUUGGGAGGCCAAGACUGGGUUUGUAGAUGAAACUGAAGCUGCCAAAGUGGAACGUGUGAAACAGGAAAAAGGUAUUUUCUGGGAACCCUUUGCUAAUGUGACUGUAGAAGAAGCAAAGAGGUCAUCUUUACAGCCUUAUGCAAAAAGAGCUCGUCAAGAGUUCCCCUGGGAAGAAGAGUACAGGGCAGCACUGCAUACAAUAGCAGGGGCCCUGGAAGCAACUGAGUCACUACUCCAAAAGGGUCCUGCUCCAGCCUGGCUUUUAAUGGAAAUGGAGGCACUCCAAGAAAGGAUGGAUAAGCUAAAACGUUAUAUACAUACUCUAGGGUGAAACUUAACUUAUCACUAGGCAAAACUGGGUUUGAUGCUUUGUCAACUGAAAAUACUUAUGUAUGUCUGUACAUUUUCUAACAGAUAUAAAACAAAUUUUGUAAAGUU